CCGGCGGGGGCGGUGGCGGGCGGCCGAGCUGCUCGGGGCUCGACGGCGCUGCCCAUGGGGGAGUGCGGGGUGGCCCCCCAGGUCCAGCUCUUUCUCCGCGCCUGCGAACAGGGCGACUGCGAGACCGCUCGGCGCCUCUUGGGGCUGCCCGGCAGCGGCCCCGCCGACCCGGCGGCCCCUUCCUCCUCCUGCUGCUCCGGCGGUACCGAGGAGGCGGCCGUGGCGGCGGAGCCCCGCGGUGAAGCGCCCGCCCCGCCGUCCCCCGCCGUGCCCGUGGACUGCACCGACGAGGCCGGCAACACGGGGCUGCAGUUCGCCGCGGCGGGGGGCCACGAGCAGCUGGUGCGGUUCCUGCUGCGGAAGGGGGCCUCCGUACAGAGCAGGAACCACUACGGAUGGAGCCCCCUCAUGCAAGCGGCCAGAUUUGGACAUCUAAGCGUUGCUCACAUCUUGCUGGAGAAUGGUGCUGAUCUCAAUGCUCAAAAUAAGUUAGGAGCCAGUGUUCUCACAAUGGCCUCCAGAGGUGGCCAUGUCAGCAUGGUGAAAUUCUUGCUGGAAUCUGGAGCUUUUGUGGACAAUUAUGACCAUUUUAGCACAAGUGUACUUAACAGCAGCAGAGAUGAUCUUCCUGAUAUCACUCCUCUCAUGGCAGCUGCUCAGCAUGGACAUGAGGCAGUGGUACAUCUUUUAUUAGACUGGGGAGCUGAUUGUAAUUAUUCUGUGAAGACUAUGGGCUGGAGUCCUUUAAUGCUGGCAGCUGUUACUGGAAAGGUGAGCUUGGCACAGCAGCUCAUGGAGAAGGGUGCUAAUCCUGAUCACCUGAAUGUACUACAUAAAACACCUUUUGAAAUCUCUGUUGGCUUCAAACACAGAGACAUGAAGGACUACUUGGAAUCUCUCACAACAGUCAGGCCCCAGGCAGAUACAGAAAAGAGGCAACCUGAUGUCUUUCAUGCUUUAAAAUUGGGAAACUUCCAGCUGGUUAAAGAGAUUGUUGAUGAAGACCCAAGUCAGGUCAACAUUACCAAUGUUGAUGGUGCAUCUCCAUUAAUGAUUGCAGCUGUAACUGGACAGCUGCCCCUUGUUCAGCUCCUUGUUGAAAAAAAUGCUGAUAUUGACAAACAGGAUAAUGUUCAUGGCUGGACAGCACUAAUGCAGGCCACAUACCAUGGAAACAAAGAUGUUGUGAAGUAUUUGUUAAAUCAAGGAGCUGAUGUCAAUCUUCGUGCAAAAAAUGGAUAUACAGCUUUUGACCUGAUAAUGCUCCUGAAUGAUCCAGACACAGAGCUUGUACGGUUACUGGCAUCAGCAUGUAUGCAAGGUGACAAAGACAAGAAUAAACUGAACAACAGAUCAUCUUUGCCUUGUUCCAGAAGUAGACAAUCCUUAAAUGUCCCAAUAUUGCCAGAUGACAAAGGAGGUCUAAAGUCCUGGUGGAGCAGGAUGUCCAAUCGAUUCCGCAAGCUGAAGUUGACUCAGACAUUGCGCCAUGGAUUUCCUUCCAAUCAGUUUGUGCCUUUUCCUGAUGAACCUGAACCAUCAUUAAAUUCCACUAUAAAAGCAGUUUCGCAAAGUGAUGUGGACACCUCUGGAAACGCUGAUGCUGCUACAGCUCGGAUUACAAAUAACAAAGCUAGUGGGGUAAGCACUGCAAAAGGAGGAAAGGAUGAUGAAUUAUUGACAACCAUGUUAAGAAGUAGUGCUCCAUUUACCAGACUGCCCAGCGAUAAACUGAAAGCAGUGAUACCCCCUUUCUUACCACCCUCAAGUUUUGAGCUUUGGAAUUCUGACCGGACACAAAUCAGCAAAGAUGGCAAAACUGAACUGAUGAGAACUGCCUGGCCACAGAGAGCGAUCAAGCACGAUUUUAACAGCAGUGGGAACUCUGAUAUAACAUCUGUUAGCAAAGGUACUAGACCAGUCAAAUUACCAGCGUUUGCAAGAAGACCUGCGUCUCCUUCAAAUUCCAACAACUUCAACCAUUCUCCCCAUUCAUCUGGUGGAUCUAAUAACAUUUCGGGAAUUAACAGACAUGGAGGAGAAUUGCACAACAGAUCGGGUGGCAGUGCAGAUAAUGUUUUGUCCCAGAUUGCAGCCCAAAGAAGAAAAGCAGCAGGCUUACCUGAACAGAAACCAAGCCAACAGCAUAGUCCAGUCCAGUCAACUCCUUCAUCCACUCUGUCUGAUUUGCAGUGUGCUCAAACUGUUGGCAAUGGACAUGUUGUAAAGCAGAAACUGGAGAUGAACAAAAGACCUCCAUCUGGGACUUCAUCGACAUCUAAAAGCACAUCACCAACUCUCACACCUUCCCCAUCACCUUCCCCAUCUCCUAAGGUUCACAAUGCAGAGUCCUCUCUUUCUCCUUCUCACAGACAGGCCAAGAGCAAUGGUUCCAGCAGUGGUACUAUUACAGAAGAUGGCAACCACUUGUUGGACCAUCAACAGCUUGUCCCUAAUCUGAGAACCAGUGAUGUAGACAAUCAUGAACGACGAAACCAUGUGAGAGUAAAAGGAAGCGCUGAAAACUUGGAGAAAGAUGAGCUGACUGGCAUCCUUAAAAAAUUGUCACUUGAGAAGUAUCAGCCUAUUUUUGAGGAACAAGAGGUCGAUAUGGAAGCCUUCCUUACACUUACUGAUGGUGAUCUGAAAGAGCUGGGUAUUAAAACUGAUGGAUCAAGGCAGCAAAUCUUGGCAGCUAUUUCUGAACUGAAUGCAGGAAAGGGUCGAGAGAGACAGAUUUUACAAGAAACUAUACACAACUUCCACUCUUCCUUUGAGAGUAGUGUUAGUAACACACGACCUGCAGGCCAUUCCCAGUGUACUACUAGGUGAGCAAAAGCUGCUGUUUGGGACCUGGUGACGUGGUGCAAUGAACUGGAAUUGACUCAAGAACUGAAGGAGCAUACAGAUGUAACAUGUCUCUAAGCAACUUGCUAACCACUGAGCGUAAAAGUGUCUUGAUGACAGCAAAAGAUGGUAAUGAUGGUGGAGAGCUGGGGAGAACAUCCUUUUCUAAGAAUGGAGGCAACAGUUACUCCAGCUGACAGGAUGCUGCAAGGAGACUGCCAUCAGAUAUCUAGCUUUUGGGCUUCUCUGUGUGACAGCUCCAUGAAAUAGAUUUGGCUGCUGAACAGCAAGAGAAGCACUAACAGAGAAGGAAGAUGAAGAGAACAUUUAGAUAAAAGAAAUUUCCAAACCAGCACCUGGCUGCUCUAUAAAACCACAAGAAGCUGUCUCUCCUAAAAGGUAGCUACUGGAAAAAAAGAUGGGUUUUUUUUCUGCUGGUGAAGUAAAUCCAAGAAUUUGAAAAUUUAGUCCAAACUACAUCUUCAUAGGACUAUCUAAUGUUUUGAAACUUGAAUCCCACCAAGAAUCAAAGGAAGUAAAAAAGAGAUUGCUUUUAUGGUCCAGCCCAAGUAUUGAAUUGUUCAAGGCGUCAGUGGUCUGGAUUUUAGAACAAAGUCAGAAGAGCAUGAAGAAUGGUGACCAUACAAAAUGAUUCAUUUUUUUCAUUCUACUCUUGCCAUAGAUGAAGAACCCAUAUGAGGCUUACAUGGGCACAAUAGGAACAACAGAAGUGAGAAAGAAAGCAUGAAAACCACCAUGAGUUAUGAGAGCCUCCACAUGGAGAAAUACAUAAACUGAAUAUGCCUCUGUUGGCCUGAUACAGAUAAAGGAGUCCAAACUGAAAAUGUAAUGGAUUUGUGAGAAGGAACAUGAAGGAAAAGUAAUGCUGCAUUCUUCAUUAACCAAAGUACACUUUAUCUAUUCAAUAUUAAGAGGUUAGAACAGCAGUAAAAGUAAAUAUGAAGUACCUAUUUGUAAAAUUAGCACUUUAUUUAAGGAAAUGCAUAAUCUGUCACGAAUAUUUAAACAGAAAUAGUGUUAAAAAUUUUUAUAUUGCUGAUCAGUUGUUUUGAGAAUAAAACCAUUUAACUGAUA